GACGAACGCUGGCGGCGUGCUUAACACAUGCAAGUCGAACGUGAUUUUUAAGGAAAGCCCUUCGGGGUGGGAAUUGAAAUGAAAGUGGCGAACGGGUGAGUAACACGUGAGCAACCUACCUUACACUGGGGGAUAGCUGUUGGAAACGAUGAUUGAUACCGCUGAGACCACAGAAUCCUAUGUUUGGGGAUCAAAGAUUUUUCGUGGUUUUGGUGUUGGCGUCUUGUUGGGUAGUUGGAAGGGUAAUGGUGAUGAGUCUUCUAUUUUUUGUUGGGUGAUAGAUUAUGGUUGCUUUGUUCGGGACUGUGUCAUUGUUUUGGAUUUGCUGUGGUUUUUUUUUUGGGUUGUUGUUGUGUGUGGCUCGUGGGGUGGGGGUUUUUAACUUUGGUCUUGCUGGGGAGGUUGUGGGUUAUUAUGGAUGGUGUUGUGAACGUUUGUGUUGUUUUUUUUUUAUGGUGGUGGUUUGGUGUUGUUGUUGUUUACUUGU
rnacentral:rRNA from 1 species